rnacentral:rRNA from 1 species
UACAGAGACUGCAAGCGUUAUUCGGAUUCACUGGGCGUAAAGGGUGCGCAGGCGGUCGUGUGUGUCAGAUGUGAAAUCCCGGAGCUUAACUCCGGAACUGCGUCUGAAACUACACGACUAGAGCAUUGGAGAGGGAAGUGGAAUUCAUGGUGUAGCAGUGAAAUGCGUAGAUAUCGGAAGGAACACCAAUGGCGAAGGCAGCUUCCUGGCCCAAUACUGACGCUCAGGUGCGAAAGCGUGGGGAUCAAACAGGG